CGGAUUGGCGAUUGUACGUCAAAUGCACCAGUUCCUCAUGGAUCACUGUGGUUAGUUAACGUUGCGCGUGGUUAGUAUCUGAAUGGGUGACCAUUUGGGCGAUCGCGUGUUGGCUUUU
rnacentral:rRNA from 1 species